GUCGUCAGCUCGUGUCGUGAGAUGUUGGGUUAAGUCCCGUAACGAGCGCAACCCUUGUCCUUUGUUGCUAGCAGGUAAUGCUGAGAACUCAAAGGAGACUGCCGGUGACAAACCGGAGGAAGGUGGGGACGACGUCAAGUCAUCAUGGCCCUUACGUCCUGGGCUACACACGUGCUACAAUGGUUGGUACAGACGGUCGCUAAGCCGCGAGGUGGAGCUAAUCCGAAAAAACCAAUCGUAGUCCGGAUUGGAGUCUGCAACUCGACUCCAUGAAGUCGGAAUCGCUAGUAAUCGUGAAUCAGAAUGUCACGGUGAAUACGUUCCCGGGCCUUGUACACACCCCCGUCACACCAUGGGAGUGGGUUGCUCCAGAAGUGGCUAGUCUAACCUUC
rnacentral:rRNA from 1 species